rnacentral:rRNA from 1 species
UACGUAGGUGGCAAGCGUUGUCCGGAUUUAUUGGGCGUAAAGCGCCCGCAUGCGGCUUGAUAAGUUUCAGGUGAAAUCUCCCGGCUCAACUGGGAGGGUGCCUGGAAAACUAUCAGGCUUGAGUCAUGGAGAGGGAUGUGGAAUUCCCGGUGUAGUGGUGAAAUGCGUAGAUAUCGGGAGGAACACCAGUGGCGAAGGCGGCAUCCUGGCCAUGUACUGACGCUCAGGGGCGAAAGCGUGGGGAGCAAACCGG